rnacentral:lncRNA from 1 species
CCUCAUGUUCCUUUAACCAGAGCUAGAAAACACGAGGUGUUUUCUGUAUAGAUCUUGUCAAUGGAAUUUCUGGUUAUUUUUCAACUUAUUAUUUAACAUGAGAUUAUAUUUUUGUAUUUUAUUCUGACAGCUGAUGAAAUGUUAUCAGAGGACAGUCUUUAACUUUUACAAUUCUGUCAGCAUCAAAGUGGAUCCAUCAGUUGGAGUUGGACAGCUUGAGCUUUAUGGCAAAUUGAGAGGAAUCUUUCAGUUGUGAUGACUUGGACCAAAUGGUUCAGUGCAUUUUCCAGCUAGCAUUCAGGUGACUUGUGUUAAGGUCUUGGUUGCGAAGUUACACUUUAAGGUCAGACUUAAAUCCAUUAUUCAUCACCAACUCCAGAUCCUGGAAUUACUUCAUCAAGAUAGAGUUCCUCCAUUCCUACCUGUAAAGGAACAAUGUAAUAACACUGCAGAGCUGAGGGACUGGGAUUAUAGACCUGAACCCAUUACCUUUGCAAUUAAGCUUCUUGAAUUACUUAGUUUUAAUUUCUGAUAAAAUUUAAAAGAUUGUGACAGACUAAAG